rnacentral:rRNA from 1 species
GAUGAACGCUGGCGGCGUGCCUAAUACAUGCAAGUCGAGCGAACAGACGAGGAGCUUGCUCCUUUGACGUUAGCGGCGGACGGGUGAGUAACACGUAGGUAGCCUACCUAUAAGACUGGGAUAACUUCGGGAAACCGGAGCUAAUACCGGAUAAUAUUUCGAACCGCAUGGUUCGAUAGUGAAAGAUGGCUUUGCUAUCACUUAUAGAUGGACCUGCGCCGUAUUAGCUAGUUGGUAAGGUAACGGCUUACCAAGGCAACGAUACGUAGCCGACCUGAGAGGGGGAAUCGGCCACACGGAACUGGGACACGGGUCAGACACCCUAGGGGGGGAAGCGUGGGGAAAUUUUCCGCAAGGGGGAAAGCCCGAAGGGGGAAAGCCCGGGGGGGGAAGAAGGGUUUUGGGAUGGAAAAACCUUUUUUUUGGGGAAAAAAAAAGGGGAAAGAAACUGGCACCGUUUUGAGGGUACCAAAAAAAAAAGCCCGGGCAAACUACGG